rnacentral:rRNA from 1 species
GAUGAACGCUGGCGGCGUGCUUAACACAUGCAAGUCGAACGGAAAGGCUCCUGCUUGCAGGGGUACUCGAGUGGCGAACGGGUGAGUAACACGUGGGUGAUCUGCCCUGCACUUCGGGAUAAGCCUGGGAAACUGGGUCUAAUACCGGAUAGGACGAUGGUUUGGAUGCCAUUGUGGAAAGUUUUUCGGUGUGGGAUGAGCUCGCGGCCUAUCAGCUUGUUGGUGGGGUAAUGGCUUACCAAGGCGUCGACGGGUAGCCGGCCUGAGAGGGUGUACGGCCACAUUGGGACUGAGAUACGGCCCAGACUCCUACGGGAGGCAGCAGUGGGGAAUAUUGCACAAUGGGCGCAAGCCUGAUGCAGCGACGCCGCGUGGGGGAUGACGGCCUUCGGGUUGUAAACUCCUUUCGCUAGGGACGAAGCGCAAGUGACGGUACCUGGAGAAGAAGCACCGGCUAACUACGUG